GGAUGUCUGGCAGCCAGGCAGGAGCAGAGACGAGGGAGGCAGUUUGAUGGAGCCACGCAGUUCCCCCACUGUGCCCCACCCUCCACAUGCCUGAGCAAGGGACCCUUGGCCACCCCAACCCGUGAAGCUGUGCAACCAGCACCUCGGUCACCACGAACAUGUCAUCCCCACGGCGCCGCAGCUGCUGCAGGAUUUUGUGCUCGGGCUUCCGCAGACGCCUAUGCAUGUUCCUGCCUCUGGAACUUCCUUCAAAUUGUGCUGACCUCAGCCUGUGCUGACUACAGACACCCUGUGACUUCUGAUGUCCCAAGGUCAUGACGCAGAGGCUGCUCAGGGCUUACCUCUCUCGGUGCAUGGCUUCCCAGGUGCUGGGGGCCACUCGUAGCAUGCACACGUUCAUUGAGGCACUGGAGCUGCUGGACCCCGCGGCCUUGCCUGAGAUCUUCCCCUGUCCUGGGGCCGCUAGCUUCACACUGCCCUUCAGCUGCCCGUCCAUAGUCUCGUGGAAGUGGAAGGGGCCGUCCUGCUCCACAGCUAGAGCGAGACCAGAGCUGAGGCCCCAUCCAGUGCUGCCUGUCCUGCCUGGGCCAAGGGACCUUUGGAAAGGGCCUGCCCUCUGGAAGCAGAGCACCCAGAGGCCCAGAGCAGGUGGCAGCUGGCCCACCCACGCCCCUCCCACCUUUGGCUCUGACUCAGUGCUAGGUGGGUACCUGGCUCCGGGGCAUCAGGCUCCAGGAUGUCCCUGAGGGACAAGUUGACACAUUUGUAGCGAGGUCUCCAGAACCAUGAACUCAAGGGCCUCCUGCCCAAAAGGCAGUAGGGCUGGAAGCUGGUGGAGCUCCACAGGCUGUUCACUGGAGUUAGCUCCUUACUGUGGUCCAGCUCCUGGACCACGCUCUUGACCACCCUCUCAAAGGCGGAUGCCAUGCUCCUGAGGCGGGCAGGUGAGUCAGGCCUCGCACACACAGGGCUGGAAGUGGGGGGAAGUAGGUACUUGGAUGUCUCCAGAAAUGGGGAACUCUCUCCCUCCAAGGCAAUUCUGCGUGGUGAGGCUCUGACUGGCAGAAAGCCCUUGCCCCUGGCUACUACCCAACACAGAAAGAAACAGCGUGGACCCUGUCACCCACUGGUCCACCUGUCCGAGGCGCCAUGAGCACCUCCAAGCUGGGACAUCAUUCACAGCCCUCAGUGGGACUCAGGCCAUGCAUACCACCUGUUCUGUGACCAGAGUGCCCACACGAAGCCCAAGAAAGUCCUGGAACUCUGAGGGUGGGGGUGGGGGUGGGGCCAGGGGUGGGGCCACCCUCGGCCACCCACUGAAGCCUCCAUCACUGUGUCACCACAACAAGGCCUAGGGCUGCUCGUGGAAAGCAGCCCUAGAGGAACGGCAAGGCGAGGCGGGAGCCUGCAGCAGCUGUCUCCCUGGCUGAGGUGCUCAGAGGUCUGGGAAGAAAGAGAAGCCACCAGUUCUUGGGCGUUCGGCACAGGGGCCCCAGCAAGGCCCAGCCAUGGUAUCCUCAGCUCCUAGGCGUAUCCUCUAUGGCUUCCUCUGUGCCCAUGGUCUAAAGCUGAGUCCACAGGAGUCUGAGGCCAAGGUGGGCCUGACCCAAGACAGAUCAGGGUUCCAGGCACGGCGGUCAGCCCUCAUGAAGCCUCGGAGCCUCGGUGCUGGUCUGAAAUCCAAAUGGGCCAAGGGGCACCUGAGGGGCCAAACCAGCCAGUCUGGGGGGGAGCCCCCUUUCCGGAGGCCGGGGACUUCCCCAAGCCAGUUCGGGAUUAUAGGAGUCCUUGGGGGCUUGAGGAAACCCUGGGCGGGUGCCGGGGCCAGGUCACCUCCCAGAGGGGCUGGCCUCCCCCACCCAGCGCUAGCAGAGCCCAGCCUGCCUGGCAGCGGAGUGCAAGUGUAGGUAGGGCGCGGGGGCAGCUCACCCUGACUGUUGCACCCAGGCCCCACUGCCACAGCGCUGAAGCCGGUGUCCUGACGGCUCUGCCCUGGAGCUGCCUGCAGAGCAAGCGCACCGCCUGGAGAUUACCAGACUCAAGAGUGAAAGCGGCCUGGUGCAGCGACGAUGUUCCGGGAAACGCCCCUUGUGCCGCCCCGCGGCGGCGGGAGAGGGGAGGGCAGGCUCGCGCCCCACCUAACACUGCCUCCAACGGCUUGGAAUGUUUCCCAUCUUUCUCUCCUAAAAGUCUGGGCCACAGCAAAGGGUCUGAAUACACAUUUCUCCAAAGAAAAUGUACAAAUGGCCAGCGAGCACAC